rnacentral:rRNA from 1 species
UACAGAGGUCCCAAGCGUUGUUCGGAUUCAUUGGGCGUAAAGGGUGCGUAGGCGGCGCGGUAAGUCGGGUGUGAAAUCUCGGAGCUUAACUCCGAAACUGCAUUCGAUACUGCCGUGCUUGAGGACUGGAGAGGAGACUGGAAUUUACGGUGUAGCGGUGAAAUGCGUAGAUAUCGUAAGGAAGACCAGUGGCGAAGGCGGGUCUCUGGACAGUUACUGACGCUGAGGCACGAAAGCCAGGGGAGCAAACGGG